rnacentral:rRNA from 1 species
AACGAACGUUAGCGGCGCGCUUAACACAUGCAAGUCGCACGAGAAAGGGCUUCGGCCCCGGUACAGUGGCGCACGGGUGAGUAACACGUGGGUAAUCUUCCCUCGGGCGGGGGAUAACAUUCCGAAAGGAGUGCUAAUACCGCAUAAGACCACGGCUUCGAAAGGAGCUGAGGUCAAAGCCGGCCUCUAUUCAUAAGCUGGCACCUGAGGAUGAGCCCGCGGCCCAUCAGCUAGUUGGUAGGGUAAUGGCCUACCAAGGCAAAGACGGGUAGCUGGUCUGAGAGGAUGAUCAGCCACACUGGAACUGAGACACGGUCCAGACUCCUACGGGAGGCAGCAGUGGGGAAUCUUGCGCAAUGGGCGAAAGCCUGACGCAGCGACGCCGCGUGAGUGAUGAAGGCCUUCGGGUUGUAAAGCUCUGUGGGGAGAGACGAAUAAGUCGGAGCUAAUACCUCCGGCGAUGACGGUAUCUCCUUAGCAAGCACCGGCUAACUCUGUGCCAGCAGCCGCGGUAAUAC